rnacentral:rRNA from 1 species
GAUUAAGUUAUUAAGGGCGCACGGUGGAUGCCUUGGCACUAGAAGCCGAUGAAGGACGUUACUAACGACGAUAUGCUUUGGGGAGCUGUAAGUAAGCUUUGAUCCAGAGAUUUCCGAAUGGGGAAACCCAGCAUGAGUUAUGUCAUGUUAUCGAUAUGUGAAUACAUAGCAUAUCAGAAGGCACACCCGGAGAACUGAAACAUCUUAGUACCCGGAGGAAGAGAAAGAAAAUUCGAUUCCCUUAGUAGCGGCGAGCGAAACGGGAAGAGCCCAAACCAACAAGCUUGCUUGUUGGGGUUGUAGGACACUCUAUACGGAGUUACAAAGGACGACAUUAGACGAAUCAUCUGGAAAGAUGAAUCAAAGAAGGUAAUAAUCCUGUAGUCGAAAAUGUUGUCUCUCUUGAGUGGAUCCUGAGUACGACGGAGCACGUGAAAUUCCGUCGGAAUCUGGGAGGACCAUCUCCUAAGGCUAAAUACUCUCUAGUGACCGAUAGUGAACCAGUACCGUGAGGGAAAGGUGAAAAGCACCCCGGAAGGGGAGUGAAAUAGAACCUGAAACCGUGUGCUUACAAGUAGUCAGAGCCCGUUAAUGGGUGAUGGCGUGCCUUUUGUAGAAUGAACCGGCGAGUUACGAUUUGAUGCAAGGUUAAGCAGUAAAUGUGGAGCCGUAGCGAAAGCGAGUCUGAAUAGGGCGUUUAGUAUUUGGUCGUAGACCCGAAACCAGGUGAUCUACCCUUGGUCAGGUUGAAGUUCAGGUAACACUGAAUGGAGGACCGAACCGACUUACGUUGAAAAGUGAGCGGAUGAACUGAGGGUAGCGGAGAAAUUCCAAUCGAACCUGGAGAUAGCUGGUUCUCUCCGAAAUAGCUUUAGGGCUAGCCUCAAGUGAUGAUUAUUGGAGGUAGAGCACUGUUUGGACGAGGGGCCCCUCUCGGGUUACC